UGGAGGUGUAGCUCACGAGGUAGAGCGUCUGUUUGAAGCACAGAAGGUAGUAGGUUUGACUCCUGCCAUUUCCAU
rnacentral:tRNA from 1 species